GUGGGGAAUAUUGCACAAUGGGGGAAACCCUGAUGCAGCGACGCCGCAUGAGCGAAGAAGUAUUUCGGUAUGUAAAGCUCUAUCAGCAGGGAAGAAGAAUGACGGUACCUGACUAAGAAGCACCGGCUAAAUACGUGCCAGCAGCCGCGGUAAUACGUAUGGUGCAAGCGUUAUCCGGAUUUACUGGGUGUAAAGGGAGCGCAGGCGGGGCGGCAAGUCUGAUGUGAAAGCCCGGGGCUCAACCCCGGUACUGCAUUGGAAACUGUCGUACUAGAGUGUCGGAGGGGUAAGUGGAAUUCCUAGUGUAGCGGUGAAAUGCGUAGAUAUUAGGAGGAACACCAGUGGCGAAGGCGGCUUACUGGACGAUAACUGACGCUGAGGCUCGAAAGCGUGGGGAGCAAACAGGAUUAGAUACCCGAGUAGUCC
rnacentral:rRNA from 1 species